GAUGAACGCUAGCGGCAGGCUUAACACAUGCAAGUCGAGGGGUAGAGGAAGCUUGCUUCCUUGAGACCGGCGCACGGGUGCGUAACGCGUAUACAAUCUACCUUUUACAGAGGGAUAGCCCCAGAGAAAUUUGGAUUAAUACCUCAUAGUAUUUUCGGAUCGCAUGAUUUGAUUAUUAAAGUUCCAACGGUAAAGAUGAGUAUGCGUCCCAUUAGCUAGAUGGUAAGGUAACGGCUUACCAUGGCAAUGAUGGGUAGGGGUCCUGAGAGGGAGAUCCCCCACACUGGUACUGAGACACGGAUCAGACUCCUACGGGAGGCAGCAGUGAGGAAUAUUGGACAAUGGCGGCAAGCCUGAUCCAGCCAUGCCGCGUGCAGGAAUAAGGUCCUAUGGAUUGUAAACUAGCUUUAUUACAAGAAGAAACACUCCCUCGUGAGGGAACUUGACGGUACUGUA
rnacentral:rRNA from 1 species